UACAGAGGUCUCAAGCGUUGUUCGGAUUCAUUGGGCGUAAAGGGUGCGCAGGCGGCGCGGUAAGUCGGGUGUGAAAUCUCGGAGCUUAACUCCGAAACUGCAUUCGAUACUGGCGUGCUUGAGGACUGGAGAGGAGACUGGAAUUUACGGUGUAGCGGUGAAAUGCGUAGAUAUCGUAAGGAAGACCAGUGGCGAAGGCGGGUCUCUGGACAGUUCCUGACGCUGAGGCACGAAGGUCAGGGGAGCAAACGGG
rnacentral:rRNA from 1 species